rnacentral:rRNA from 1 species
AAUAGCCUAACGGCUGAACCAGCAACUUGGAGGAAUGUAUAGUGUAAGCUAGUUGUAUUGAUAAUUAAUACAAUAUUGACUAUGUCAAAUAAAGUUCUAGAUAAAAUAAUGAUUAUGACAAUUUUUUAUCUAUAUGUCUUGGCCAAAACUCGUGCCAGCAGCCGCGGUAAUACGAGGAAGACUAGUGUUAUUCAUCUUUAAUAGGUUUAAAGGGUACCUAGACGGUAUUUUUAGCCCAUAACAGGGUACGGAUUUACUAGAGUUAUAUGUGAGAGGGGAGUACUGAUAGAGUAGAGAUGAAAUUUUUUUAUACUAUGGGGAGACUGGUAGAGGCGAAAGCAACCUUCUAUGUAAAUAUGAUAUACAUGGCUUAACUAUCUUAAAAUGUUACACUAAUAACAUAGACAUGUAUUAAUUUUAAUUAAUUUAUAUAAAUAACUGACGUUGAGGGACGAAGGCCUGGGUAGCAAACAGGAUUAGAUACCCCAGUAGUCCAGGCAGAGAAUUAUGAAUGCCAUAGACUAGAUAAUAGAAAAAGAGAUAGCGGGGGAUUUAUAUUCUUUAUAGCCUUAUAAGAUAGUUAUAAAGCAAUAAGGCUAUAAAGAGAUAACAGAGAUUUAUAUUCUGUUAUCUCUUUAUUUAGUAAAUCUGUAAUAACUAAGGCUAUUUAACCUUGUUUUCUGGAUUACCCAUAUAAUUAGUCUAUAAAUAAAAGUGCAAGCAUUCCACCUUAAGAGUAAUGUGGCAACGCUGGAACUGAAAUCAUUAGACCGUUUCUGAAACCAGUAGUGAAGUAUGUUGUUUAAUUCGAUUAUCCGCGAAAAACCUUACCACAAUUUGAAUGUUAUCUAUUAUUACAAGUGUUGCACGGCUGUCGUCAGUUAAUGUCGUGAGAUUAUGGUUUUUCCAUUAAAUUAACGUAAACCCUUGCUUUAUUUAUUAUUUUUUUUUUAUAAAGUAGUUCACCACUAGGUUAUUUUGGUAAUAGGGACUAAGACAAGUCAUCAUGGCCUUAAUAUUGUGGGCUACAAACGUGCCACAUAUGCCUAUACAAAGGGAUGCUAUAAUGUGAAUUACAGCUAAUCCCAAAAACAUGGAUAUAACAU